ACAUUAUAACCUGCCUGCCAUCCAAUAACCCCAGAAUGAACAACAGAAUCCAUGUGCCUUCAUAGCUAAUUAUUUAAAGAUAGCUGGAUCUUGGAAUCACAGAAUAGUACUAUUGUGAAAAUUGGUGUUUCAUGCCAUCCCCUCUACUGUUACAAUGAGUGAGGCAAGAAGUAUCAGGUCACCUCCUACCUAAUGGGGUGUCUUAUACCAGAGGCCUAUACUAUACACCUGUAGAGAGCAAAAGGAGUGGAAGUUUCUUGCUUAGCAGCACUGGAGCUGAAACUGUAUCAGCUGCAUUUUAAGUUAUUUUUUUCCUAGCUUUUUGAAAGCUGGAAAGAGGAAAUCAUUCUGGUUUCUUUAUCCUUUUGUCUUCUCAUGAGCAAUUCUAAAGAUUCUUUUAUUACUGAUCAAAAAGUUGCGAGGCCCUGUUGUGCUGUCAUUUGCCAUAUGAUGUGUCAAUGCUGUUACCCGGGGCCAUGUAUUCCUUCCACAGGUAAUCGGUAUGCGUGGUUCAAUGCACUACAGCAAAUAGUGAAUCAAGAGACAAUAGGACAACUCUGUGGGAAAGGCACAAACUACUCCCUAUACGGAUCUGCAGAGCUCCUCUGUAUGCCAAAGAAAUUGUUUGGUUCUGUUCCUCUUUCUCGUUCUUAUGUUCCAUGUGGAUGCUUUCAAACUGAGGUGAGUAACAGCAUAUUAUAUUUAACUGGGAUGAUUAUUAGCAGAUUGAAGUUAUGGAAAUACUAAUAAAAUGAUAUGGAAGGGAGAGAGCUGCGAUGUAAUGAACACAGGAACUUGAUAUUCUGUGGGCAGCAACUACCUGUUGCUUCUGCUGUUAGUUUAUUGUUGAUAACAGUCUUAUUCAAAACAACAUGCCUCUUGCUGCGGCAGAGUUUUAGAGAAAGCUGGCAGGAGCAAAUAAUACUGACUGGAUUUUGCCAUUCUGGCUCCAUGUGGGUAACAGUUGCAUAGUGGUAAUAUGUAGGGAUUGACCUUUACAUAAAUGAAAAUUACACUAGAAUGUUGAUUGGUAAGAACUUUACUUCCAUUAAGCCGUAGGAAUUGCUUCUUGCUGUUUUGGGCAAAAAGGUUUCAUGUAAUUAGAGCUGUAAUUAGAAAUGCCAGCCCUAAUUAUCCGUUACCUACUUUGGUUUGAGGACUAUAGAAAAAUAUUCAUUUUUGACAGAAGUUUCCGCCCUCUAAUUAGUAGUGAGAAGGUUUGGGCAGAAAACAGAGCCUAGUAAUAGGAAAGCCAAUUAAAAGAAGAAGGAAACAAU